CCUACGGGGGGCAGCAGUGAGGAAUAUUGGUCAAUGGGCGCUAGCCUGAACCAGCCAAGUAGCGUGAAGGAUGACUGCCCUAUGGGUUGUAAACCUCUUUUAUAUGGGAAUAAAGUGCAGUAUGUAUACUGCUUUGCAUGUACCUUAUGAAUAAGGAUCGGCUAACUCCGUGCCAGCAGCCGCGGUAAUACGGAGGAUCCGAGCGUUUUCCGGAAUUAUUGGGUUUCAAGGUAGCGUAGGCGGGUUGGUAAGGCAGUUGUGAAAGUUUGCGGCUCAACCGGAAAAUUGAAGUUGAUACUGGCAGCCUAGAGUACAGGAGGGGGAGGCGGAAUUCGUGGUGUAGCAGUGAAAUGCUUAGAUAUCGCGAAGAACACCGAUUGCGAAGGCAGGCUGCUGGACUGUAACUGACGCUGAUGCUCGAAAGUGAGGGUAGCAAACAGGAUUAGAUACCCUGGUAGUC
rnacentral:rRNA from 1 species